AACGUAUAUAGUUAACGUUUUCAC
rnacentral:snRNA from 1 species